rnacentral:rRNA from 1 species
UACAGAGGGGGCCAAGCGUUAUUCGGAAUUAUUGGCGUAAAGGGCGCGUAGGCGGCUUUCAAGUGACGGGUGAAAUCCCUCGGCUUAACCGAGGAACUGCCUGUCAGACUGGAAGGCUUGAGACCGGGAGAGGUGAGUGGAAUUCCCAGUGUAGAGGUGAAAUUCGUAGAUAUUGGGAAGAACACCGGUGGCGAAGGUGGCCAACUGGACCACAACUGACGCGAGGCGCGAAGCGUGGGGAGGCAAACAGGAUUAGAUACCCGUGGUAAG